rnacentral:rRNA from 1 species
GACGAACGCUGGCGGCGUGCCUAAUACAUGCAAGUAGAACGCUGAAGAGAGGAGCUUGCUCUUCUUGGAUGAGUUGCGAACGGGUGAGUAACGCGUAGGUAACCUGCCUUGUAGCGGGGGAUAACUAUUGGAAACGAUAGCUAAUACCGCAUAACAAUGGAUGACACAUGUCAUUUAUUUGAAAGGGGCAAAUGCUCCACUACAAGAUGGACCUGCGUUGUAUUAGCUAGUAGGUGAGGUAACGGCUCACCUAGGCGACGAUACAUAGCCGACCUGAGAGGGUGAUCGGCCACACUGGGACUGAGACACGGCCCAGACUCCUACGGGAGGCAGCAGUAGGGAAUCUUCGGCAAUGGGGGCAACCCUGACCGAGCAACGCCGCGUGAGUGAAGAAGGUUUUCGGAUCGUAAAGCUCUGUUGUAAGUCAAGAACGAGUGUGAGAGUGGAAAGUUCACACUGUGACGGUAGCUUACCAGAAAGGGACGGCUAACUACGUGCCAGCAGCCGCGGUAAUACGUAGGUCCCGAGCGUUGUCCGGAUUUAUUGGGCGUAAAGCGAGCGCAGGCGGUUUGAUAAGUCUGAAGUUAAAGGCUGUGGCUCAACCAUAGUUCGCUUUGGAAACUGUCAAACUUGAGUGCAGAAGGGGAGAGUGGAAUUCCAUGUGUAGCGGUGAAAUGCGUAGAUAUAUGGAGGAACACCGGUGGCGAAAGCGGCUCUCUGGUCUGUAACUGACGCUGAGGCUCGAAAGCGUGGGGAGCGAACAGG